UGGCUUUAAAAUUUUAUGUGCUUUUAGUGAAGUUAAUAAACAAUGGCAAAACAUAACUACAUAAUACAUAUGUUUGAAAUUCUCACAAAAAAAUAUUUGAGAUUUAAAAUUCUUUAAACUUCCUUCCUCUGGAAAUCUUAAACUGCAACUCUCAGAAUUUCUUUAAAUUUGCAGUUAUAUUCAAAAUGAAGGUUCUUUAAUUAAGAACAAUAUUUUAAUACCAUAAAAAUAUGUUCAAGCAUCUAAUAAAACAACUUUUUUUUUCUUACUUUUUAAGGUUUUGGCUGAUUUAAGUGAACCCCUUCAAAAGAACUGCCUAAGUAGUGACAUGCAACAAUAUAAUCUGACACUGUAGUGGGUGAAAGUAAGUUUUCUGCUUAAGGGGACUUUGAAAUGAUGUUGCACUGAAUGCAGCUCACAGCAAGUUAAACACAGAGAAAGAACAUGCUUGUGUACAGGACCUUACAAAGCCUUACAAAAGUGAGUAGCUUUACCUGAAUCUUGGAUGUCAGGUUAAAAAAGCUGUAUUCAACCUUUGCCAUCCUCUUUCGUGGAGACCUAGAACACUAUGGAAAUCUGGACUGCUGCAAAUCACACAAGGGAAAAUGGACUGCUGGGAAAGAGGAGGGGCUCCUGGGACACUGAAGGGUAGCAGCAUGCUUACUUAAUUGCAGAGGAAGUUGUUCUCUGGUAGUAUUGUCACUGCCACCAUAUUUUUCUUCAUAUUAGUUCUGCUUCCAUGUCUGAAAUGUCACUUUGGGGACUGCUGCCAGAUGUUGUUUGGAUGAAGGUUUCCUUAGGACUUGUGUACAGAAGACUGGAGAAAAUCAUCAUUGAGAAGAGGAAGGCAAGAAGUUAUCCCAGAGCAUCUAAAAUGUUACCUGAGUGGUGUGGUUUUACCCAUUAGUUCUCAGCACAGACUAGAGAGUUCUCUGCUCACUAAUAUUUGGAUGUCCCACUCUGAGAUGGGCUUGGGUGAUGUCCCUCAGAGGGAAAAUCACCUUUGGACCUUAGUGUUCUCAUAAUAAAUACCCGAG
rnacentral:lncRNA from 1 species